rnacentral:lncRNA from 1 species
GGAGGAAGUAGGGACUACCCUGGGCCAGGGGCAGGGCAAAUGGCUGGAUGGCCAAAUUGCAUCUGAAGGAGUAGCUGUCACAUGAAGAAUCCUACACAGGGGCCGAUGGAGUUGAAGAGGAGAGAUGCUUUUACCUUAGCUGAUUGCCCAGAGAGAUAAAGAAAGGAAAGCUGAAAAUCUUGGUGACAUCAUCAUGAGCACUCCCUCAUACUGGCACAGUAAACACCAAACCCUGCCCUCCUACCGACCUCACUUGGAGGCCUCUGACUUGUAUCUUACACUUGCCGCAUAGUGACCACAGGAACGUGGAAUGCUGACAGUGCUGAGAAGUGGUGGUUUCCUCACCUAGAUAUCAAACUUUAAAAAUCAGAGCAGUCAAUUUUAACAAUACAGUUGCAAUUAUAAUUACAUUUUAAAAUACAAUUUCAGAUUGUUCUUAAAUCCCAACAAUUUUUUCUAUGAUGGUGACAGUUUUGGCCUUAGCGUGGCCAGGUACUGAUUUUUAGCUAACAUUGGAC